AACCAGUACCGUGAGGGAAAGGUGAAAAGCACCCCGGAAGGGGAGUGAAAUAGAACCUGAAACCGUGUGCUUACAAGUAGUCAGAGCCCGUUAAUGGGUGAUGGCGUGCCUUUUGUAGAAUGAACCGGCGAGUUACGAUUUGAUGCAAGGUUAAGCAGUAAAUGUGGAGCCGUAGCGAAAGCGAGUCUGAAUAGGGCGUUUAGUAUUUGGUCGUAGACCCGAAACCAGGUGAUCUACCCUUGGUCAGGUUGAAGUUCAGGUAACACUGAAUGGAGGACCGAACCGACUUACGUUGAAAAGUGAGCGGAUGAACUGAGGGUAGCGGAGAAAUUCCAAUCGAACCUGGAGAUAGCUGGUUCUCUCCGAAAUAGCUUUAGGGCUAGCCUCAAGUGAUGAUUAUUGGAGGUAGAGCACUGUUUGGACGAGGGGCCCCUCUCGGGUUACCGAAUUCAGACAAACUCCGAAUGCCAAUUAAUUUAACUUGGGAGUCAGAACAUGGGUGAUAAGGUCCGUGUUCGAAAGGGAAACAGCCCAGACCACCAGCUAAGGUCCCAAAAUAUAUGUUAAGUGGAAAAGGAUGUGGCGUUGCCCAGACAACUAGGAUGUUGGCUUAGAAGCAGCCAUCAUUUAAAGAGUGCGUAAUAGCUCACUAGUCGAGUGACACUGCGCCGAAAAUGUACCGGGGCUAAACAUAUUACCGAAGCUGUGGAUUGUCCUUUGGACAAUGGUAGGAGAGCGUUCUAAGGGCGUUGAAGCAUGAUCGUAAGGACAUGUGGAGCGCUUAGAAGUGAGAAUGCCGGUGUGAGUAGCGAAAGACGGGUGAGAAUCCCGUCCACCGAUUGACUAAGGUUUCCAGAGGAAGGCUCGUCCGCUCUGGGUUAGUCGGGUCCUAAGCUGAGGCCGACAGGCGUAGGCGAUGGAUAACAGGUUGAUAUUCCUGUACCACCUAUAAUCGUUUUAAUCGAUGGGGGGACGCAGUAGGAUAGGCGAAGCGUGCGAUUGGAUUGCACGUCUAAGCAGUAAGGCUGAGUAUUAGGCAAAUCCGGUACUCGUUAAGGCUGAGCUGUGAUGGGGAGAAGACAUUGUGUCUUCGAGUCGUUGAUUUCACACUGCCGAGAAAAGCCUCUAGAUAGAAAAUAGGUGCCCGUACCGCAAACCGACACAGGUAGUCAAGAUGAGAAUUCUAAGGUGAGCGAGCGAACUCUCGUUAAGGAACUCGGCAAAAUGACCCCGUAACUUCGGGAGAAGGGGUGCUCUUUAGGGUUAACGCCCAGAAGAGCCGCAGUGAAUAGGCCCAAGCGACUGUUUAUCAAAAACACAGGUCUCUGCUAAACCGUAAGGUGAUGUAUAGGGGCUGACGCCUGCCCGGUGCUGGAAGGUUAAGAGGAGUGGUUAGCUUCUGCGAAGCUACGAAUCGAAGCCCCAGUAAACGGCGGCCGUAACUAUAACGGUCCUAAGGUAGCGAAAUUCCUUGUCGGGUAAGUUCCGACCCGCACGAAAGGCGUAACGAUUUGGGCACUGUCUCAACGAGAGACUCGGUGAAAUCAUAGUACCUGUGAAGAUGCAGGUUACCCGCGACAGGACGGAAAGACCCCGUGGAGCUUUACUGUAGCCUGAUAUUGAAAUUCGGCACAGCUUGUACAGGAUAGGUAGGAGCCUUUGAAACGUGAGCGCUAGCUUACGUGGAGGCGCUGGUGGGAUACUACCCUAGCUGUGUU
rnacentral:rRNA from 1 species